UUUUUUGGGGGGGUAUCUUAGGAUGAUGGACUAUAGGCGUUCUGUGAAGCAGGUUAGGGGGCCAGGGAAGGAGGAAUUCUCUCUGGACACUAUAGAGCUGGAGACCCAAGACUGAAUUUUCUUUUCAAUACCUUGGUUUUGCAGUCCACCUGGAGCAGGUCUUUGUGCUCCUUGGCUCCGAUUUUGGGAGAUCAUAGGGGCACCCCCACCAGUCCCCCCAGUUUUUAAUAUUUUCUCAUCAGUCUUGGGUCCCCCACACCCUGAAGACUCACAGCCUCAGAUUCCUGAGUCUCUUAGGGAAAAGGAUCUGAAUUCACUUAAUGCAGUAUCAAAUGUAUUUGAUUUCUCCUUCAUUUUGGAGGAGAUGUGAGGACUUUUCAUUCAGACUUAACCAAAUGGAAUGAGUUGCUAAUUUUCAAAGUCAUAUUUGUGUCAGACUCCUUUAUACCAGGACCGCUUACUCAGUGACAAGCAGGCAACGAAGCUAAAUUAUUUCUCCUUUUUCUGAAAAAUGGCAGAUUCAAGAAUCAGGGCACUUUACUUAUCUCUGGUUAAUAACUUGAACAUGAGAUUUUGUUACAUGUGUGUCUACAGAGAGACCUGUGCCAGUGUAUUUCUGUGCCUUUAGUGCAGAUCUAUAGACACCUGUGACUUUGCAAUGCUGAGCCAACAGCAGGCAUAUUCUCUUGGAUUUGAAAUCAAUUUCUCAGCCAAAAAGUUCUUUCUUCUGGGUAGAGGUGGGGGGCUCCUGGUUUUUGUAAGACAGAAUGAUGAAUUUAUCCACUGUGACUAUGGUAUGGAUGCAUGGGGCCAAGGAACCAUGGUGACCGUCUCCUCAGCGACCAAGACCGCACCGACCAUCUUCCCACUGAAUGCCUACGGGUCCAACUCCGAAGAACAAGUGUCCAUUGGCUGCCUGGUCAGGGGCUACUUCCCUGAGCCGGUGGAAGUGACCUGGGGCAACCAGGCCUCGUCCGCAGUCAGGACCUACCCUGCCGUGCUGGAGUCCAACGGGUACUACCUUGUGAGCAGCAUGCUCACCCUCCCGGCUAACCAGUGCCCUGACGACAAGACCUACCAAUGCAAUGUGAAACACUACGAUAGCAGCAAAACGGCCAACGUGAAAUGUAGAAGCCCAGUUUCAAACUGUGGAUGUGAAUGCUGCUCAAACUGCCCAUCUGUGAGUGUGUCUCUGCACCCCCCGUCCCUGGAAAGCCUGUUCCUCGACAAAGGGGCCAACCUGACCUGUGAACUAACCGGGGUGAGCAACGUUAAAGGGGUAAACUUCUCCUGGUCACCGCUCUCCGGGACCGCCAGGCCCGUCGAUGGCCCGGCGGUGAAGGAUGACAAAGGCAAGUACACCAUCACCAGCACCCUGGAGGUCUGCACCGAUGAGUGGAUGCGGGGAGACAAAUACACCUGCACCGUAAGCCACCCGGAACUGCCCAAACCCGUCACCAAAACCAUCACCAAGGUUUCUGGCCCUCUGUUCCGACCUGAGGUCCACCUGCUGGCCCCUACCGCCGAGGAGCUGGCCCUGAAUGAGUUGGCCACUCUGACCUGCCUGGUGAGGGGUUUCAGCCCCAAGGAACUGAUGGUGAAAUGGCUGAAGGGGGGUCAGGAGGUGCCCCGGAAGGACUAUGUGACCGGCUCCCCGCAGCGGGAGGUCAGCGAGGGCUCCGCCACGUUCUUCCUGUACAGCACCCUCCGCGUCCAGACCUCUACCUGGAAAGAGGGGGAGAACUUCUCCUGUGUAGUGGGCCACGAGUCCCUGCCCCUCAACUUCACCCAGAAAACCUUCGACCACUCCACCGGUAAACCCAGCACGGUCAACCUGACCGUGGUCAUGUCCGACGCGGCCAACACCUGUUACUAAGGAUCAGCCUGGCCCGUCCCCCCUUCCCCCCCUCACCCCGGCCACUUCCACACACACAUACACACACCCCUUCCUUGACCCUACUCUCUGCCCAUUAAUGCCCACGGUUGGUGGGGCGGGGGGACCUGCACGAGUCACCUGCUCAAUAAACCAUGAUGCAC